rnacentral:rRNA from 1 species
UACGUAGGUGGCAAGCGUUGUCCGGAAUUAUUGGGCGUAAAGCGCGCGCAGGCGGUCUCUUAAGUCUGAUGUGAAAUCCCGUGGCUUAACCACGGGCGGUCAUUGGAAACUGGGGGACUUGAGUGCAGAAGAGAAGAGCGGAAUUCCACGUGUAGCGGUGAAAUGCGUAGAGAUGUGGAGGAACACCAGUGGCGAAGGCGGCUUCCUGGACCAGAACUGACGAUCAGGCACGAAAGCGUGGGGAGCAAACAGG